GGAGCAGGUUCUUUUCUCAACAUGGAUCCUGAACUCCAGGCUGUGAUGGAGAUGAUGGGUAAGAGUUUUCACAGCAAGAUUAUCAGAGAGGUGGAUGCCAGGGAGGAGAAGGAAAGCAACCUUCAGGACAAAAACCAGUCAACUUGAACACUCAUGGAUAAUUUCUACUUCAAUUGAACACUGAUGCAUGGAUAAUUUCUAGUUCACUUGAACACUCAUUGAUAAUUUCUAGUCAACUUGAACACUCAUUGAUAAUUUCUGGUCAACUUGAACACUCAAAGACAAGCACUUUUUCAUUUGAUCACUCAUGGAUAGUUUAUAUUCUACUUGAACACAAAAGAAGUUGACCUUGAACACUCACGGAUAAUUUUUAGUCUAAUUGAACACUCGUGGAUAAUUUAUAGUCUACUUAAAAACUCAUGGAUAAGUGAAGUUCACUUGAACACUCAUGGAUAAUUUCUAGUUUACUUGAACACUCGUGAACAAGUUCUAGUUCAUUUGAACUCAUCAACAAUUUCUAGUUUACUUGAAAACUCACGGAUAAAUUCUAGUCCAUUUAAACUCCCAUGGACAAGAUCUAGUUCAUUUGAAUUUACAGACAAGUUCUAAUUCACUUGACAUACACGGACAAGAUUUAGUACAGUGAACACUCAUGAACAAGUUCUAGUUCAUUUAAACUUAAAUACAAGUUCAAGUUCACUUUAGCACUCGUAGACGAGUUCAAGUUCUAGUCUACGCAUGGAAAUUAUUUAUUCAUUGAUUUAUUGUUUGUUUUAUAAGGAACAAAACUUUUUAAUGGAAAGCCAAAGGUAAUUUGUUUGAGUUCAAAUUAAGAUAAAGGAUUUUACCUCUCAAGCUGUAAUAAUUUUUAACGUCAAGUAACGAAUCUAGUCAUAACAGAUUAGGAAGCAAAAAGUUUAAUUGCAUUUAAAUAGUAUUGCAGGGGUAAAUGUUCGUUGCUUGAAAAAUCACCCAACCCCCGUUAAAAAUAUUUAUUAUUUAUCCCUGGAGGAUUGUUAUUUAUUAUUUAUUAUUAUCUAUUUAUAAUUCAUUACCUAAUUAAAUUUUUUGUAAAAGCCAAUUAAAACUAGAAUUUUCUGCAUUUACUGACAUUUUACGAAAAAUGAUUAAUUACAGA